CGCUGGCGGCAUGCCUAACACAUGCAAGUCGAACGAGACCUUCGGGUCUAGUGGCGCACGGGUGCGUAACGCGUGGGAAUUUGCCUCGGGGUACGGAAUAACUCAGGGAAACUUGAGCUAAUACCGUAUGAUGUCUUCGGACCAAAGAUUUAUCGCCCUGAGAUAAGCCCGCAUAGGAUUAGCUAGUUGGUGAGGUAAGAGCUCACCAAGGCGACGAUCCUUAGCUGGUCUGAGAGGAUGAUCAGCCACACUGGGACUGAGACACGGCCCAGACUCCUACGGGAGGCAGCAGUGGGGAAUAUUGGACAAUGGGCGAAAGCCUGAUCCAGCAAUGCCGCGUGAGUGAUGAAGGCCUUAGGGUUGUAAAGCUCUUUACCCGAGAUGAUAAUGACAGUAUCGGGAGAAUAAGCUCCGGCUAACUCCGUG
rnacentral:rRNA from 1 species